GGCCUCCCGUGUCUCCGAGGAGUCCCCCGCCGUGACGCCGCUCCAGUGGACAUCACACCGCUGCACGCGUUCAUCCGGAGACCGCAAGCGGGACUUCUGGGUCGACGUCACUCCAAAGCAGCUCUGCCUUUUGAAAAUCACCCGCAGAAAUGGAUGGAAUGGUUUCCUUUUGUAUUUUUCAAACUAAAACAAUUCCUCUUUUUACACUCAAGUUGUAACAAACACUUUUAAUGCACUCACUACCUCAACGAUCAGCGUAUGCAUGGAGCACAUUGUGUGGAUGUGUGUAAUCCUGCUGAGGCACCAGCAACGUCAGCACAUAGUUUGCUCUGCAGCUCCUCUCGCCAGGUAAACGUUUACAUAUUAAACAUGUUUCCCCCGAAGAUAUCAAGUCGCAGAACGGCGGAGCUGAACUCUGAAGCCAAAACACAGAUCGACCACCUCAGUUCUACCAGGGUUUCUUCUCUUUUCGUUCUUCAAAACAAGUGUUUCGCGUGCUGGAUUUCAAAAACCAUUUAAAUCAAUUUAUUUUCUUUCUUUUUUUGGUCAUUUAAAAUAAAGACACAAAUGAGGCCAUUACAUCACAGUAGUUUACUUUGCCGGAUCUUCUGUUUGAGUAAUAAUUGAUACUCGAGAACCUGCUGAAAGCUUCAAUGUGUCUCCGACCAGCUGCUCCCCCUCUAGUGGUCACAUGGGGUCAUUGCAGUGACAAUGUGUCGCUGACCCUGGUCCUGAAUCCUCCGUCUGCGGCUCAGCACAACUGAAACAGGCGUGAAGACAGGAUGUGCAUAUGACAGGCAGGGACUUGUGACAUAUUGACAAUAGUCUUUGGCACAUCAAUGUGAAGGGCCGUUGUCCAGGAGGCCUUUUCUGUUUGUCUCAGUGUCUCUGUUCUUGUUUGAAUGUGUUCACUCAUCUAUAUUCAUUCAAGAUUAACUUCUACUCAUAAAAAAUACCUGCAAAAUGAACAGGGAAUAUUUAUACUUUUCUUAGUGGUUAUUAUCAUUUUAAGGUUCUAUGGAAUGACAGUGGUAUGUAGAGGGGGACCACAGAGUAGGAUCUUUGUCUUGUCCUUUAGCGAAGGUAGCUUUGGGUAACAAGUUGCAGUGAAAAGAAAUGAGAUCAAAUAAUGCUUUCCACUUGUAGUGCGACCCAGUCUCCAUAAAAAGCGUGAAAUGGCUACGUUGGUCCACCGUAAUAGACGUAGUCGUGUUACGUUUUCCCCCAAAAUGGCAAUACUAUGUUACGUUUCUUUUGGCCCAUUCAUCUACAUUGCUUUGCAAAUAGGUCAUAGGUCAAAAGGUGAUUGGCUGCAAUCUGCCGUCUCUCCAUGAUUGGAGCCCACCCCUCUCACCUCAGACAUGAACUAUUGGUUCCCCUUCCAUCCGGCAGGAGGCUGAGGUCCAUCAGGACUAAGACCUCCCGCCACACUAACAGUUUCUUCCCUUCGGUCCCCCCUGACUCUUCACUCUCUACAUACACAUACACUUUGUCAUUUUCACUUUUCACUUUCUGUUGGAUGGUGCACUUUAUCUUUAUUUAUUUGUUUAACUUAACUAACCCAUAGCUUUAGAUUACUAACCCAUCGCAUUGUAUUAUAUUCUAGUUUUUUAUCUUAUUCCUUAUGUUGUCUGUUGUCCAUUGUCGUACUGUCUGCUUUCAUGCACCAACUGCCAAGUCAAAUUCCUUGUAUGGCUGACAUAUGAUGGCAAUAAACGUUUCCUGAUUCCUACUAGCAAAUAAUCUAGCAACUUCUCUGGCGCAGAAGGAGGCUUUAAAAAUGUAUUCAGCAAUUGGCUAAAGUGCUUCUUCAAGCGUAGCUAAAACACGCAUGAGGACAGAACGUGGCAGAACAUGGGUAUGACAGGCAGGACUUAACGGAAAAGCAUAUUUAUAUAUUUAUUUAUUUAUAUCAUUUGAAUUCCUCACAGACUCAAGUCAGGGUUUAAGGCCUUUAACAGUGACAUUUCUACUAUACAGUAUAUUUUGGGGCCUGACCACUGGUCAAACAAAUUGAAAGAAUUGGUAAAAAGAGAUACCGUUUCUUAUUUGCAAUUAGAAAUAACCAGGACUCGACACCUUUUGUUUCUUGUGACGUGAAGCUGCAACCCGUUAAGGACCAGUGACGUGAAGUCUGGGUAGGCAAGGCACUGCCUGCCAAAAUAAAACAUAAACCUUUUUAUUAAA